UUUCCGUAGGUGAACCUGCGGAAGGAUCAUUAAAGUUAUAGUCCCCCGGCCCCUCCGGGCUGGGGUCUUCUAUACCACCCUUUGUUUAUUACACCUUUGUUGCUUUGGCAGGCCUGCCCUCGGGCUGCUGGCUCCGGCCGGCUCGUGCCUGCCAGAGGACCUAAACUCUGUUUGUAUAUGAAGUCUGAGUACUAUAUAAUAGUUAAAACUUCCAACAACGGAUCUCUUGGUUCUG
rnacentral:misc_RNA from 1 species